rnacentral:ncRNA from 1 species
AUCGGGAAUGAGGUUCUCCCGGAAACUUAGGUUUCGAACCGCCGAAAUAGGAUUUUAUUUGGCUGAUGACUUCUGCA